GCCAACGUGGUGUGGUGGCUUGAACACUGGACUUUAAAUCUAGAGGACAGAGUUCAAAUCCCCACUUGGCC